rnacentral:lncRNA from 1 species
UUGUAGCUGAGAUGAUUUAUGUAUUUCUGGCUGGGAUGGUCAGACGCAUAGGGGAACCAUGGAGUUAUUCAGGGAUGGAACCCCCUCCCACCCUGGGCAUUGGUAAGCCUCAGCUUUGGGUCUUGGUAGCUGUGCUUGCUGGGUGGAUGGUGGAGUGGUCUCUAAGUUGUGUUUCCCUCAGCAUCCAUGACCCUGGGGAAAGGUGCUCUGGCAGCAGGAGUCUCAGGAGGGAGAGCGCAGUGAGCUGUGGACCCCAGGAAGCCCCAUGUCUUUUCUCUUAGGUGAGAGCUCGAGGCCUCUACUCUCCUCGGUCAAAUCUCUGGGCUUGUGGGGAGACAGCUCAUCUCCUUUUUUCCUCAUUCUCACAUCCGGGAUGGUGGGUUUUCCUGGCCCUCAGCAUAGCCUGCUAAGCGGAAGCUUUUAGAGGUUAUUCCAAGAAGAGGUUGACUUAGGCAGCUUGUUGAAUGAGGCUUCCUGGACAGCAUCAUAGACAAAUGCCUUGGUUUUUCUCUGCCCAGCUAGUGAUCACCAGCAAGCAGAAAAUGACUCCUACCAAACCCAGUCAAACAGAGGCACAGUCUCUGCUCUUCCAAAUCAUUUUAAUGAAGGCAUCGGCAGCAGGACAUACAACACGCCCAGAUACACAGCAUAGCAGGGCCUCGAUAAUGAGAUAAUUUCCC